GGGGAUGAUCGGUUUCGACGGUGUUCGUCGAGACAGGUGAAGCGGGUCGAGGAUACAGGGUUAUCUCGUAAACGAUCUCUGUAAAACAAUAAGUGCUGAAUCAAAUCGCACUGACUUCGCUCUUGCUGCCUAAGCAGUAAGACAGUCCGUCAGCCCGGGAAUGCUCUCGUCCCGGAUCCUGGCGUCAUUUAGAGGGCCACUGCUCUAAGUUCUUGUUGUAGGCGCUUAGGGGACUUUUAUACAACUGGGCCUGGCAGCUGCUUGUUUGCGAGACAGCUGGGGCCGAGAAAAACCGUACGCAAACUGCACCCGGAGAAGCCCUGACAACACAACAUCGGACGGGAGUUCAAUUCUCCCCAUCUCCACAU
rnacentral:tmRNA from 1 species